GUCUACAGCCAUACCACCCUGAACUUGCCCAAUCUCGUCUGAUCUCGGAAGCUAAGCAGGGUCGGACCUGGUUAGUACUUAGGUGGGAGACUGCCUGGGAAUGCCGGGUGCUGUAGGCU
rnacentral:rRNA from 1 species